AGUGAGCGCUGGCGGUAGGCCUAACACAUGCAAGUCGAACGGCAGCACAGUAAGAGCUUGCUCUUACGGGUGGCGAGUGGCGGACGGGUGAGGAAUACAUCGGAAUCUACUUUCUCGUGGGGGAUAACGUAGGGAAACUUACGCUAAUACCGCAUACGACCUACGGGUGAAAGCAGGGGAUCUUCGGACCUUGCGCGAUUGAAUGAGCCGAUGUCGGAUUAGCUAGUUGGCGGGGUAAAGGCCCACCAAGGCGACGAUCCGUAGCUGGUCUGAGAGGAUGAUCAGCCACACUGGAACUGAGACACGGUCCAGACUCCUACGGGAGGCAGCAGUGGGGAAUAUUGGACAAUGGGCGCAAGCCUGAUCCAGCCAUACCGCGUGGGUGAAGAAGGCCUUCGGGUUGUAAAGCCCUUUUGUUGGGAAAGAAAAGCAGCAGGUUAAUACCCCGCUGUUCUGACGGUACCCAAAGAAUAAGCACCGGCUAACUUCGUG
rnacentral:rRNA from 1 species